GCAACCUGCCUGUAAGCGGGGAAUAACCCGUUGAAAGACGGACUAAUACCGCAUAAUACUAAAUUACUGCAUGGUAAUUUAUUUAAACAUUUAUGGCUUACAGAUGGGCAUGCGCAUGAUUAGCUAGUUGGAGAGGUAACGGCUCCCCAAGGCAACGAUCAUUAGGGGUUCUGAGAGGAAGGUCCCCCACACUGGUACUGAGACACGGACCAGACUCCUACGGGAGGCAGCAGUGAGGAAUAUUGGUCAAUGGACGAGAGUCUGAACCAGCCAAGUCGCGUGCAGGAAGAAUGUCCUUAAUGGAUUGUAAACUGCUUUUGCAGGGGAAUAAAGUGCAUCACGUGUGAUGUUUUGUAUGUACUCUGCGAAUAAGGAUCGGCUAACUCCGUGCCAGCCGCUGC
rnacentral:rRNA from 1 species